UACGUAGGGGGCAAGCGUUGUCCGGAAUCAUUGGGCGUAAAGCGCGUGUAGGCGGCCAGGUAGGUCUGCUGUGAAAACUCGAGGCUUAACCUCGAGCUGUCGGCGGAAACCAUCUGGCUAGAGUCCGGAAGAGGAGAAUGGAAUUCCCGGUGUAGCGGUGAAAUGCGCAGAUAUCGGGAAGAACACCCGUGGCGAAGGCGGUUCUCUAGUACGGUACUGACGCUGAGACGCGAAAGCGUGGGGAGCGAACAGG
rnacentral:rRNA from 1 species